CAGCCGCCGCGGGAAUACGGAGGGUGCAAGCGUUGUCCGGAUUUAUUGGGUUUAAAGGGUGCGCAGGCGGGGGGGUCAGUCCGCGGUGAAAGACGAUCGCUCAACGAUUGCAGUGCCGUGGAUACUGCCCUUCUUGAGUCUGGUUGAGGCCGGUGGAAUUGACCGUGUAGCGGUGAAAUGCAUAGAUAUGGUCAAGAACUCCAAUUGCGAAGGCAGCCGGCUGGGCCAGCAUUGACGCUCAGGCACGAGAGUGCGGGGAUCAAACAGGAUUAGAUACCCCCGUAGUCCCUGUCUCUUAUAC
rnacentral:rRNA from 1 species